CACCCACCCUGUGCCACCCCGGGGCUUGUCUUACAGAGAAGGGAAGCAGAGGCUCGGAGUGGGAUGUUUGGGAGCUUGCGGCCGUCAGGCAGGAACCCACCUGUCCCCAGCACGCCGAAAGCAACUGAACCCACCAGCAGCUCCUUCUCCUGAUGUCCCCGCUGACCCCACUGGCACAGAACUGCGGGGAAACAGAUGGAGUCUCGCUGUUGUCAUCCAGGCUGAGUGCCAAUGGCAUGAUCUUG